rnacentral:rRNA from 1 species
AGGACGAACGCUGGCGGCGUAGCUUAACACAUGCAAGUCGAACGAGGUUAUUGGAGAGCUUGCUUGAAGAUAACCGAGUGGCGGACGGGUGAGUAACGCGUGAAUAAUCUGUCUCAGUACAGGGGGAUAACGCAUCGAAAGAUGUGCUAAUACCGCGUAGGACCACGGUGCCGCAUGGUACUGAGGUGAAAGGAGCAAUCCAGUAUGAGGUGAGUUCGCGUCUGAUUAGAUAGUUGGUGAGGUAACGGCCCACCAAGUCAACGAUCAGUAGCCGACCUGAGAGGGUGAUCGGCCACAUUGGGACUGAGACACGGCCCAGACUCCUACGGGAGGCAGCAGUGGGGAAUAUUGGGCAAUGGGCGAAAGCCUGACCCAGCAACGCCGCGUGAAGGAAGAAGGUUUCGGAUCGUAAACUUCUGUCCUAUGUGAAGAGAGGAAGACGGUAGCAUAGGAGGAAGCCCGGCUAACUACGUGCC